UCGGCCAGCCAUCUUCACGAAUUCUUCUUGCGCCAGUUCUGUGAUGCACACACAUGUAGCGGAAAGCCAAAACCUUUCUCCAGAGGUCGACAGGCUAGGACGAGUGCGUUCUACAUUGUGAUUUCAGUUUUGACAGUCCUUUUUGUGCUGUUUUUCUAUGUCUUCAUUUACUUGUAUAAGAGGGGAAUGAGAACUCGACCACAG
rnacentral:misc_RNA from 1 species